rnacentral:rRNA from 1 species
ACGAACGCUGGCGGCGUGCCUAAUACAUGCAAGUCGAGCGGACGGAUGGGAGCUUGCUCCCAGACCGUCAGCGGCGGACGGGUGGGUAACACGUGGGCAACCUGCCUGUAAGACUGGGAUAACUCCGGGAAACCGGGGCUAAUACCGGAUAACUCUUUCCCUCACAUGAGGGAAAGCUGAAAGAUGGCAUCUCGCUAUCACUUACAGAUGGGCCCGCGGCGCAUUAGCUAGUUGGUGAGGUAACGGCUCACCAAGGCGACGAUGCGUAGCCGACCUGAGAGGGUGAUAGGCCACACUGGGACUGAGACACGGCCCAGACUCCUACGGGAGGCAGCAGUAGGGAAUCUUCCGCAAAGGACGAAAGUCUGACGGAGCAACGCCGCGUGAGUGAUGAAGGUUUUCGGAUCGUAAAACUCUGUUGUCAGGGAAGAACAAGUACCGGAGUAACUGCCGGUACCUUGACGGUACCUGACCAGAAAGCCACGGCUAACUACGUG